GAAGACGUUCCUACAAGAAGUUAUUAAGAUGGACACUACAAGGAAAUCAGUUGUCCCACUAGCAUUGUUAUUGACUUUCUUCAUCAUUGCAUCAGAUAUGUGCUUGAAAUUAGAAGCAAGGGGACCCAUUGUACAUCUCCAUUGUUCUUCAGACGAAUCAUGCCAAUUACGUCCUUGUGCUGCUGCAUGUGGUUGCAAAUGUAUCGAUACCUUUUGUCAAUGCACAAGACCUUAUUUUAAUGAUAAUACUCAUCAUACUCAUGCACCCCCAAAUUGAGUAACCAAGUUAUGAGAUGCAAUCACCCAAUGUGAGUGAGAGCAAUGAAGGAUUUCAUCUUCUUGUGUAUGAAUUUUACCUUAAAAAUAUGUUAAAUAAAAUUUAUGGCCUUAUCAAUUUUGUUAA